rnacentral:lncRNA from 1 species
CAAUAUCCCAUGAGCUACUUUCCACCGUUGUGCUCUUCAGCAAGGCCUUUUUACCCUAGAUCUCAAAAAUAGAAUUAAAUUAAGGAUUGUUGUUUAUAUUGUGUAUAAUGUUCAAUACUGAUGGUUGAUGAGGGAGUGGUGGUUGAGAAGGGGCUUUGAUGACAUAGACGCCACUUCCUCUGUCUUUAAAAGUCAGACCGACAGAGAGACAGCAGUAACCAGGGUUUAAGUGUUGGAGAUGUUACUGCACUGGUGUCUGCUGUUGAUCGGUGUCUCUCUCAGCACAUCAACCACAGCAGCAGAAGCCAUUCUCUGGGUGAAGACAGGGGAGAAGUUUACCAUGAAGUGCUCCACCACUCUAAAAGACCAGGACGGAAUGUACCUGUAUGUUGGGCUGGACAGGGACAGGGAGGUGUUGUAUUACUACCAGCGUGACUCCAAGCUGACCCCCAGGAAAGGCUACUGGGAGAGAGUGAAGACUGAGGGACCUGUGGACCAACUGACCAUCAUCGUCAGUAACCUGACCAUAGAGGACACAGGAGUCUACUGGUGUGUUUACACAAAAGUCAACAAAUCCACGUUCAAUAUUUUUAGCACCCAAGGCAAAGGCUCCACUCUGGUGGUGGUGAAUGACGAUGCCCCACAGCUGCCAUGUCCUACAGCUACUGCAGUAACGCUGACCCCCUUUCACCCAGCCAAUGAGAAGCCGUGCCCAUCUGGCGUGGUAAACAUCAUCAUCAUCAUCAUCAUCACCAGCCUCUUGACCAUCCUGCUGUGUGCUGUCAUUUUCCUCAUCUGGGUCGCUCCACGGGUGAAGAGGUGCCGUAACCAGGGAGGAUCCACACCCCAGGUCUUUCCUGAGUCUGUCUAUGAAGACAUGGCCAGGAAACACACUUGUCCACCUGACACACAGGUAGAAUCGUAGGUAGAAUUGUACCCCUAUUCUGUCUCUACCAACGGAGGAACUAGGACCACUGAGUAGCUUCUUCAAAUGCUUUUUCUGAAUAUUGCUUCUUUACUUUCUCAGAAUUGAAAAGCCUGUUCUGCUGUAUUUCACAGUUCUAGCCUUAAUGCAAGUCUUUGUGGUAAAUUGUCUGUGUGUGUGUGUGCACGUAUGUGUCGCACCAUACCAUGCUUAUGUGUGUGAAUAAAAUCUCUAUGUGAUAAGUAUUCGUAUUUCAACAGAAGACCAGCGGGAAGGAGGGGAACAGCCAAUGUUAUAUUCCAGGGCUAUUCAACUAUAUUCUUACGGGUGCUAGAUGUAAAGAAGUUUUAUUUCAGGGGGGGGCGGACAUUUUCCACAUGCAAUGCACACACACCAAUAAAAGUAAAGGCUCAACGCUCGCUCACCAUUUUUUUUUUUUUUUCAAUAAAUAAGACAAUAACUAUAGUGCUUUUCAUUUUGGCACUGAACGUCAGAUUUUGGCGCAGAUAUUUUAUGAAUGUUGAUCUUUUAUGAAGAAUUGAUCGAAGGGCCAGUCUAAAUUAAUAAAUGGGCCAGAUCUGGCCCGUGGGCCGCCAGUUGAAUAUCCCUGUUUUAGUCCAUAAGGUGUAAAGUUUAUAGCAAUGGAGGCCUACCAAUACCUUUUUUUCAGUACAUCAAGUCAUAAGUUUUAUAUUGGUUUUAGUUUGAAACAGUGCUGUAGGCUGUGGUGUGUAGUGUUUUUAGGUCACUGGACCACUCAGGAAGCUGUUCCUGUGCAUGGGGUCUGCUACAAAGUCAAAAGAGCUUCAACGUUAAAAUGAGAACAGUUUGUUAAAACCUUUACUAUAUUUUAUCAUAGGUACAAAUGUUUUAGCUGCCUUAACUUUAUCAGGUACAUCAGGAUAUAAGCCUACGAGUCAGUUUCAACUUCCUAAACAUUAUUUCCACUUUGAAAACCAGUUAUUGUGUAAAAUAUGUUUUGGGGUGAGAAACAUAUACACACCGUUUAUUGCCUUUUAAUCAAAAUAUUGAUACAUAAUUAAUAGUCAUAUUCAACUUGUGUAUUCAUGUUUAUGUUGUAUUUGUAUACAGUUGAAGUCGGAAGUUUACAUACACUUAUGUUGGACUAAUUAAAACUCGUUUUUCAAUCACUCCACAAAUUUCUUGUUAACAAACUAUAGUUUUGGCAAGUCGGUUAGGACAUCUACUUUGUGCAUGACACAAGUCAUUUUUCCAACAAUUGUUUACAGACAGAUUAUUUCAAUUAAUCACAAUUCCAGUGGGUCAGAAGUUUGCAUACACUAAGUUGACUGUGCCUUUAAACAGCUUGGAAAAUUCCAGAAAAUAAUGUAAUGGCUUUAGAAGCUUCUAAAGCCAUGGCUAAUUGACAUCAUUUGAGUCAAUUGGAGGUGUACCUGUGGAUGUAUUUCAAGGCCUACCUUCAAACUCAGUGCCUCUUUGCUUGACAUCAUGCCACCAAUUAGGUUCACUCUACUGUAAUAUGGCGGUCUAUUUAGUCAAUCAGGUAAUACACACUCAUUCCAUGAUGGCUGCUGCGUGCAAGCUAUGCACUGGUGUUUUUGUCGACAUGCUAUGCUGUAACAUGCAAUACUCGCCCUGCAUGUCUGCUUUCUGACCACCCACCCCAGACUCCACCUGUUUGGGCACUGCUUUUGUUUCAGUCAGGGGGAUUAGUAUAGCAUACCUUGUUCACUGUUUAUUAUUAUGUUAUCAUAAUGCAUGCUCUGGCAGUGAGCUACCCCGAAGGAGCAGAGCCUAACGCCAAGAGUAACAUAUAGAUGUGUUUUAAUUUUUUCUAAUAAUUGUCCAAUUAAAAUGUCAAUAUACAUGAGCAGCAUCAUGAAGUUGUUUUUUCAACAUACUAUCUUCUACAAUCAUAUCCAAAAUCAUAACCAUAAGUCAAGUACUCUGUUACUGUCACACAGACACAUAUCCUGUAAGCCAGACCUCCGUGUGCUGCUGGUGACAGUGGCUUCUGAUGUGGUGGCAGCAGACACAUGCGAAACUAUACCCAACACCCCAGGGGAACAUAAAUGCAUCUCUUUUACACACCAUAAUCUUCAGAAACCAGUGAGUGAAUAACUCAACAACCAAACACACAGAGCCUACCCUGCAUGGCAUACGAAUAUGGAGCGCAGGCUGUAUCCCCACUCUCACACACUCUACUAGUUAUUUAUUAUGGAGAGACAUGUUGAGAGAGAAGUGUGUCUUAAAAGUCAAACUUUUUCUGAACGUAUAAAUCUUACUCUUAAUCAGAAUUCUUAAGGCCGAUGUGGUUUUGUGUCUUCUACAACGGGUUGGUCAAAACAAGCAUUGUGGUUGGUUGAGACGCGCUCUACAAAGAACCAGUUUAGCACGGGUAGACCUAUAACGCAAAAACGAGCAUCUUGUUUUCGGUUCCAUCUGAGAAAUCCCUGGGCAUCCACUGUCCCAUCAGCCCAGCCAGCCAAUUGAUUAGCUGGAUCGCCACUGUACAAAGCAUCUAGACAUUACUUCCCCUUGCUUAUAGCCUAACGUUUGGUUUGCAACAACGGGGGGUUGUAUAAACAUUGUCUGUCUCUCGAAAUUUGCUAAAUUGUUUCAAUUUUGAAAUUCGAUUCCCACUGUCCUGUUUGAUUUGAUUUAUUAGGAUCCCCAUUAGCACCGGCUACUUUUACUGGGGUCCGACCUUACAAAAGACUUUACGAUUUACAUUUAAAAACAUUAACAUGGUGUGUGUGUGUGUGCGCAUCUAUCAGUUACACAUACAUGUCAGUAUAUACACAACACCAAGUAGGUCACAUGGGGGAGAGGAAUAGUGCUGUGAGGUGUUGCUUAAUUUGUUUUUUUAAACCAGGUUUGCUGUUCACUUGCGCUAUAUAAGAUGGAAGGGAAUUCCAUGCACUCAUGGCUCUGUAUAAUACUGUAUGCUUCCCUUUUCUGGACCUGGAGACUGUGAAAAGACCACUGGUGGCAUGUCUGUUGGGGUGUGUGUUAUGUGUUAUGUGUGUAAGUUGACUAUGCAAACUAUUUGGAAUUUCCAACACGUUGUUUCUUCUAAAAACAAGAAGUGACGCAGUCAAUGUUUCCUCAACUCUUAGCCAAGAGAGACUGGCAUGCACAGUACUAAUAUUAGCCCUCUAAUUACAAUGGAGAGCAAAACAUGCCGCUCUGUUCUGGGCCAGCUGCGUCUUAACUCGGUCUUUCUUUGCAGCACUUGACCAUAUAACUGGAUAAUAAUCAAGAUAAGAUUAAACUAGAGCCUGAAGGACUUGUUCUGUGGAGUGUGGUGUCAAAAAAGCAGAGCAUCUCUUUAUUACAGACAAACCUCUCCCCAUCUUUUCAACCAUUGAAUUUACACUGAACAAAAAUAUAAAUGCAACAUGUAAAGUGUUGGUCCCAUGUUUCAUGAGCUGAAAUAAAAGAUCCCAGAAAUGUUCCAUAUGCCCCAAAAAUGUUUUACACAAAUUUGUUUAUGUAAUGAAAAUUAUAUGACUAAAGGUUUGACUAAAUGAUUUCACCCUGAAAAUGUAUAACCGAGUGAUUAUAAGAUGAAGGUACUAAUGUGUGUGUGUGUAGGAAAAGUUGAAGCUUAAUGAUUUAGCAAUGUAAGCAAGACAUUCAAGGAAAAAGGGGAGCUGUUAACAGACAGCAAACAACUUGUGACCACUGUGAAACUGAUAACAGGAAGAAGGUCUCCAUUAGGCUUGCAGUAGAUUAUGUAACAUGGGGCAGGAUAUGAUAAGCAAUGUAUGUGAUGGAGAAGACUUGUAAAUAAGCAUUGACAGUGUUAAAGAAGAGGAGGGGCAGUCGUAAGGGGUAUGACAUAUGGUAUGACCAAAUGUUAGGUGUAAAAGGCUGUGUACAUUGUAUGAUAUUCAGAGCUCUCGUAAAUAAACAUUCUGACCAAUUGUAAGCUGGCUCUCCGUCUGUGUCACGAAUCCCACCGAAGGUGGCUUCCCUGCCUGCUCGGGCGGCGCUCGGCGGUCGUCGUCACCGGCCUACUAGCCGCCGCUGAUCCCUUUUUUCUUUUCGUUUGGUAUGUCUUAUUGUUUGCACCUGUUCCUCAUUUGGGUCUUUUGAUUUUGGUUAUUUAAGCCUGGUUAGCCCGCCCAGGUUUGUGCGGGAUUAUUUAGCGUCAGGUUGUGUUUUGUAUUUGGAUGUGCUGG